UACGGAGGGGGCUAGCGUUGUUCGGAAUUACUGGGCGUAAAGCGCACGUAGGCGGCUUUGUAAGUUAGAGGUGAAAGCCCGGGGCUCAACUCCGGAAUUGCCUUAAGACUGCAUCGCUAGAAUUGUGGAGAGGUAAGUGGAAUUCCGAGUGUAGAGGUGAAAUUCGUAGAUAUUCGGAAGAACACCGAUGUGCGAAGGCG
rnacentral:rRNA from 1 species